AGCAGCUGUGUCAGCUCGUUAUGAAAUCUACGAUAUUACCUAACAUGUAACUCAGUAAACGAUUUUAUUACAUUCAAUAAAACAUUGUUUACAAAGCACUCGUAAAGAACAGCGGUCGAUAAAACAUGGAGAUUGCGUUGACUACGUUUUGUUCAUAAUUUCUGUAUAAUUUUGUUGUACAGAACGUUUUAAAAUGCAACGCAACCAUGCAUCCAAAAGGAAUAGCAAUACUGUUCGCAAUGUUAAUUCUAGAAUCGUCGGGAAACAAUAAUGAAAUAAAGCAAAGGAUACAUAACCAUUUUAACCAGAUAUACAGUGAGCUCAAGAAGCUGAAGCUGCCACAGGUGUUUACGUAUCCAGUCUACUACCCAGUGUAUUACCACCGACCGAUUUAUACAUUACCUACUAUAUAUGUUUUGGGUUAGAAUAUACUGCACAAUGUUAACUAUGAUUCACAUCCAAGUAUUCCAAAGAGACUGGGGUCCAGUAUUCCAUCCUUUCACACCAGGAUACAAAAACAUUGACCACGAAUGUACCGAUGAGUCCAUGUGUUUGGACAUACCAUCAAAAGAGAUCUGCAAGGACAAGCUGUCGAAACCGUUGUACCUAUGGUUACCGCUACCAUGGUGGUACUUCUAUUGCCAAUGGAUUACGAAUAUGCGACCAGAUCCUACAAGGAAGACCACGACUAGCACCGUACAUCCGUAUUAUAAGAAUGUUCUAGAAGACAUUGUUAGAUAUAGGAAUUUUGUUAGGAAUAAUUAAAUUAAAUAAAUCUACAACUGUUGGUAUAUUAUAA